GACGAACGCUGGCGGCGUGCUUAACACAUGCAAGUCGAACGGAAAGGCCCUGCUUUUGUGGGGUGCUCGAGUGGCGAACGGGUGAGUAACACGUGAGUAACCUGCCCUUGACUUUGGGAUAACUUCAGGAAACUGGGGCUAAUACCGGAUAGGAGCUCCUGCUGCAUGGUGGGGGUUGGAAAGUUUCGGCGGUUGGGAUGGACUCGCCGCUUAUCAGCUUGUUGGUGGGGUAGUGGCUUACCAAGGGUUUGACGGGUAGCCGGCCUGAGAGGGUGACCGGCCACAUUGGGACUGAGAUACGGCCCAGACUCCUACGGGAGGCAGCAGUGGGGAAUAUUGCACAAUGGGCGGAAGCCUGAUGCAGCAACGCCGCGUGCGGGAUGACGGCCUUCGGGUUGUAAACCGCUUUCGCCUGUGACGAAGCGUGAGUGACGGUAAUGGGUAAAGAAGCACCGGCUAACUACGUG
rnacentral:rRNA from 1 species